rnacentral:rRNA from 1 species
GCCAGCAGCCAUAUCACUCUGCAACUCCCAGCUGGCAGCCCCCAACUGAAGCUCAGCAGGUGUGAGCCUGGUCAGUACCUGGAGGGGAGACCUCCUGGAAAAAACUAAGGUUGCUACUGGAA